CAAUAAGUAGGUUAGUGGUAUUGUAGUUAUUAGACCGAGAGGAAAGUAGGUCAUAGAGGCUGUAUAAUCAUACCGCCGUCCAUAUUCGCCUGAUCAUACAUGCGCUUUUCAUGUAAGUAAGACAUGUUUGGUUUAUAAACACGCUGAAAUGUGCUGUCUGUUGUUUAUAUGUAAAUACGGCUGUACGCCUUGUUAAUUAAUUCCCUAAUCACCGCGAGAUAGGCUACUUUAGAUAGGUACGAGGCAACAAUCAUUUUCCACAUUCUCAAAAUGUAAUAUUUCUGUCACGGUGGUGCUUACAAAAUUAGUACUACAGAAACAUUUGCUUCGCACUCGCACUUCUUUUUUUAAAUCCAUGUCAGGUUAUAUGAGGUCAAAUGUCUCGGAGUAAGAAGUCAAUGUGUUCAUUUUGAAUCAUAACGCCGAUUACAGUGACUGUGUCAUAUUUCUGAUGAAUUUUUUUCCCGUUGUGACUGUAUGUGCGACACGUCCCGGUGCGGUGGGGCAGGAGUCAGGACAGUAAGCUCACAUGCCCUUUUCCUCAGGUCCAGUGCCUGUUUUGUGUAUUUCCGCAGAAGCCAGUGCUGUUUUUUGAGGUACGUGGAUAUUUGGAAACAGUGUGUGGAAUUAAUGUCCCCAACAAAUUUAAAAGGAUAGUCUGUGAGAAAGGUCCAUUUAAUUACAUUUUACUCCCCAGUUCUCAUUACUGUAAUGCUUAUUCUUAUUACUGACAAAAGAUUUAUGUAUACAUUUUGAAGCAUUUUUUUCAUCAUGGUGUCAUUUCUUGUACUGCUUUUAAUCCUUUUUAAUAAUAAUAAAAAAGGUGUAUUACACUAAUGAGAAUUGGGGAGUAAAAUGUACAUAAUUUUUCUAAAGCAGGGUUUCUGCAGGAGGCUCAUUUGUUGAUAAAAAGCUCAUUAAUAAGGCUAAUUGGGCUACACAAUUAAUCAAAAUAAAACUGAAAUACAAAUAUAUAUUUUAUCGAAUCAUGAUUAUCAAAUUAAAUGCUGCAAUUUAAUUAAAUAUGUAUUAAGUCUUUGCAUGUUUUAGAGUGAAGAGCAACACUGUGUUCAUUUACACUGUGUUUAUAGGCUCGGUUCAUAGUAAAUGCUGUUUAAAAAACGUAAUCUCUGCAAGUUCUGUAAGUUUAAUGUGCAUUUGGGUACAGAAUGUGCACUUGAUUCACUUUAUUUACAUUGGCAUUUGCAUAAUUAUAAACUUUUUGUGGAUAGUUUAGCCUACAGCAUUUCACCAACAUUCCACCAAAAUAAUGGCUUGAGGAUUUGAUAUGUCAAAAACUUGAGGGUCACAGCAAUAGCAAUAUGAGCCAUUUUUAUUUUUGAAAUGUAAUGUCAUAUCUAUUCCCAUCGCUGAGUCAGGCAUUCUAUAACUCAAAAUUAUCGCAAAAUUAUACUUAAAAAAAAAUAAAAUAAAUAAAUUGUUGGGUUGAAAUGAGACUUAUCGAUAGGUUUUUUGAGAUUCACCCUCACCCAUUCACUUUGAAUAUAUGGUAAAGAGCAGCGUGAACAUUCAGCUAAAGUUCUCCUUAUGUGUUCAUCAAAAGAAAAUCAUUAGGGUUUGUAUAAACCUGGGCGAUAAAACGGUAUCGAUAUUUAUCGACGUUACACCUUUUUCGAUAUCGAUAGAAAACAUUUUCAAUAUAAUGCAUGAUAUAGGCACAUGCUAAGAGUGACGCAGACAGCACACACGAACACGAACACAUGCUGAAUUGAGGGCUGUGCCUGCCUGUGAUGAGAAGAUUGUGAAUAAAGAAUGAAUAUUAGUUGAAUUUAAAAUAAACAUUUGCAUUUGAAUGUUAGGUGGUCAGUCGGGGCGCGCGAGAUGUGGCGAUGAUGUAAGUGUCAUUGUUGCAUUUUAAUGUUUUGUUAGUCUAGCCCACGAGACGCGCCAUGCGUUAUUCAUUCAAAAUAUUAGAGAAAUAUAGAAGAAGCAAAGAAGAUCUUGAUAAAGGUUAAAACCGAAACCAAGCCAUUCACACAGAACGCAUAUUCAGCGCAUCUUUAGAUGGACAAACAUGACUGCUGCACUCGCGUCUCACACAAGAGUUGUAUAGAAAGCCAUGCAAAGUUAAAAGUUUAAACUUUUAGAAAACACGUACAAAUUUGUGGAGGUUUAUUCCUUUUCACUGCGUCUCAUAUGUUUUUAAAUGCAGUCUGUGUGAAUGGCGCUUCGGCUCUUUAGAUUAAGCAGUGCAUAAAUACAUGAUGCUGUUUUGUUCAUAAUUGUUUAUGCAAUUUACGAAAUUAUAUUUGAUUUUUAUGAGUUAAUUUAGACGUUAUGCACGUUUUUAUAGAGUUACUUCCUUGCGUUGACAAUUUAAAUGUGCUACAUUAUUUUACUCCUCCUUUUUACUCCUUUUACCCUCCUGUGGCCUCGGGAGACAACACAAAAGUUUCCUUAAG
ensembl:lncRNA